AUUGAUGACACCGUUGACUUUUUCUCACAUGUUUGACCAUUCGUCUUAUUCCAAAAAUUUACGUAAUUGUAAUUUAUUUUGAUAUGAGUUGUUUUAUCACUCAUAGUACUUUAAGUGUGAUUUAUAUCUUAUAUAUUUGUAAAAAAAAAUUGAAUAAGACGAAUGGUCAAAUAUGUAAGAAAAAAUUAACGGCGUCAUCUAUU
rnacentral:pre_miRNA from 1 species